UAUCUCUGUAGAGUCUGCAUAUCAAUAAGCGGAGGAAAAGAAACUAACUAGGAUUCCCUCAGUAAUGGCGAGUGAAGCGGGAAGAGCUCAAAUUUGAAAUCUUCAAGGUUUUACCUUGACGAAUUGUAGUUUAAAGAAGUGUUUUCUGUUGAAAUUUUGGUAAAAGUUCUUUGGAAAAAGACAUCAAAGAGGGUGAGAAUCCCGUAUUUGACCAUUAUUUCCAGCUUUGUGAUACACUUUCAAAGAGUCGGAUUGUUUGGGAAUGCAGUCCAAAAUGGGUGGUAAAUUUCAUCUAAAGCUAAAUACUGGCGAGAGACCGAUAGCGAACAAGUACCGUGAGGGAAAGAUGAAAAGAACUUUGAAAAGAGAGUUAAACAGUACGUGAAAUUGUCAAAAGGGAAGCGUUUGACACCAGUGUUGUUUUCUCGAAAAUCAAUUAAAAAAGAUUGGAUUUUGUGUUGUAUUGACUUUAUCAGCUUUCUGCACUCUUUUCUUGUCUUUUUUAAUGCACUUUUCGUUUAACAAGUCAACAUCAAUUUCUUUUGUUGUAAAAGGGUCAUUGGAAGGUGGCUUUCUUUUCGGAUGAAAGUGUUUAUAGCCUUUGACUUCUGCAAUCGGAGAGAUUGAGGUCUGCAGCGUAGAUCCUUCGGGGUUAGAUACAGUUUGUGCUAAGCUAUAGCCUUUGUCAUAGACAACUUGUUGACUAUGAUCAGUCAUGUACUUACUCGCAGUAUAGCUAUUUUACCUACGCUUAGGAUGUUGAUGUGAUACUGCGAGCA
rnacentral:rRNA from 1 species